GACAGAGGGUGCAAACGUUUGCUCGGAAUCACUGGGCGUAAAGGGCGUGUAGGCGGGAAGGAAAGUCAGAUGUGAAAUCCCUGGGCUCAACCCAGGAACUGCAUUUGAAACUCCCUUUCUUGAGUGUCGGAGAGGAAAGUGGAAAUUCCUGGUGUAGAGGUGAAAUUCGUAGAUAUCAGGAGGAACACCGGUGGCGAAGGCGGCUUCUGGGCCGAUACUGACGCUGGAGGAGCGAAAGCGUGGGGAGCGAACAGG
rnacentral:rRNA from 1 species